CCACGUGUGUCUGCAGUGGGGAAUAUUGGACAAUGGGCGAAAGCCUGAUCCAGCCAUGCCGCGUGUGUGAAGAAGGCCUUCGGGUUGUAAAGCACUUUCAGUGGGGAAGAAAGCCUUGGGGCUAAUACCCUCGAGGAAGGACAUCACCCACAGAAGAAGCACCGGCUAACUCCGUGCCAGCAGCCGCGGUAAUACGGAGGGUGCGAGCGUUAAUCGGAAUUACUGGGCGUAAAGCGCGCGUAGGCGGUCUGAUAAGCCGGUUGUGAAAGCCCCGGGCUCAACCUGGGAACGGCAUCCGGAACUGUCAGGCUAGAGUGCAGGAGAGGAAGGUAGAAUUCCCGGUGUAGCGGUGAAAUGCGUAGAGAUCGGGAGGAAUACCAGUGGCGAAGGCGGCCUUCUGGACUGACACUGACGCUGAGGUGCGAAAGCGUGGGUAGCAAACAGGAUUAGAUACCCCAGUAGUC
rnacentral:rRNA from 1 species